CAAUUUCCAAGUGAGUUUGAAAUUGAAAUGUGUAAAUUGUUUGGUCCAAUUUAAAUUCGAUUUCUUAUUCAUAGGUGC
rnacentral:pre_miRNA from 1 species